rnacentral:rRNA from 1 species
UACGGAGGGGGCUAGCGUUAUUCGGAAUUAUUGGGCGUAAAGGGCGCGUAGGCGGCCCGGUAAGUCAAAGGUGAAAUCCCUCGGCUCAACUGAGGAACUGCCUUUGAAACUGUCGGGCUUGAGGCCGGGAGGGGGUAGCGGAAUUCCCAGUGUAGCGGUGGAAUUCGUAGAUAUUAGGAAGAACACCAGUGGCGAAGGCGGCUCACUGGUCCGGUACUGACGCUGAGGUGCGAAAGCGUGGGGAGCAAACAGG